AUUGAACGCUGGCGGCAGGCCUAACACAUGCAAGUCGAACGAGUGGCGGACGGGUGAGUAAUGUCUGGGAAACUGCCUGAUGGAGGGGGAUAACUACUGGAAACGGUAGCUAAUACCGCAUACCAUCGGAUGUGCCCAGAUGGGAUUAGCUAGUAGGUGGGGUAAAGGCUCACCUAGGCGACGAUUCCGAGCUGGUCUGCGAGGAUGACCAGCCACACUGGAACUUAGACACGGUCCAGACUCCUACGGGAGGCAGCAGUGGGGAAUAUUGCACAAUUGGCGAAAGCCUGAUGCAGCCAUGCCGCGUGUGUGAAGAAGGCCUUCGGGUUGUAAAGUACUUUCAGUGAGGAGGCGUUACUCGCAGAAGAAGCACCGGCUAACUCCGUGCCAGCAGCCGCGGUAAUAC
rnacentral:rRNA from 1 species